GCCGGGGUGUUGGAAUGGCAGACAAAGCAGACUUAAAAUCUGCUGUUCCGUGAGGAGCGUGCGGGUUCAAGUCCCGCCCCCGGCA
rnacentral:tRNA from 1 species